rnacentral:rRNA from 1 species
GAUGAACGCUGGCGGCGUGCCUAAUACAUGCAAGUCGAGCGAAUGGAUUAAGAGCUUGCUCUUAUGAAGUUAGCGGCGGACGGGUGAGUAACACGUGGGUAACCUGCCCAUAAGACUGGGAUAACUCCGGGAAACCGGGGCUAAUACCGGAUAACAUUUUGAACCGCAUGGUUCGAAAUUGAAAGGCGGCUUCGGCUGUCACUUAUGGAUGGACCCGCGUCGCAUUAUCUAGUUGGUGAGGUAACGGCCCACCAAGGCAACGAUGCGUAGCCGACCUGAGAGGGUGAUCGGCCACACUGGGACUGAGACACGGCCCAGACUCCUACGGGAGGCAGCAGUAGGGAAUCUUCCGCAAUGGACGAAAGUCUGACGGAGCAACGCCGCGUGAGUGAUGAAGGCUUUCGGGUCGUAAAACUCUGUUGUUGGGGAAGAACAAGUGCUAGUUGAACAAGCUGGCACCUUGACGGUACCUAACCAGAAAGCCACGGCUAACUACGUGCCAGCAGCCGCAGUAA